AGAUUUGGCUCGGUAGUGGGGGUUGAGCGCUCAGCAGUGGGCUACCCCUCUCGCGACACAGUAUCGUCGCGGUGUUCACCGUGGGCAGAGUAGUGGGGAGAGCUAACUGGCAAGGACGCGACGCUUCGGCCGACCGACCGACAUAUACUAUUAUACUACUCGUCGCAUCGACUUUCCAUGAGUGUUACAAAAGAUCAUUGAAAGAAGAAGAAAGAUGAAAGGCAAUAGAAGACUGCCAAAACACGAGAUGUGCCAAUCGACGCGUUCCUUCGUGGACUGCCAGCUCACCUUCCGCGCUACCGUUUUAAAUUAAGAUUAAGAAAAUGGAAAAAAUUGUUCGAUCUCGUCUUCCUAUUCUAUUAAUAACAAAAAAAAAAAAAAACCAGAUACGAAGAUCGUAACGAAGAAAAUUCAUCAAACAUUCUACCACUUUUUAACGAAACUAACAAGACAAAUCGCUUUCACCACUGAAUGAGAAAGAUCGUGUGAUCCUUUAUCCUAAUCUAGAUUAAAACUUAAUCUAAACCUAGACUUGUUCCAGAUACAACUGCCAAGGUUUGCGCAUGCUCUUCUAACGCGAUCUUAUAGCGUGUUAAUGAAAGUUGUCGAGCCGUAUAUGUAAUGAAACUUUUAACGUGAAACGAGUUUCUUUAUUUCUCUCUCUUCCUCUUGUCUAGUUAGCGGUAAAAUGGAAUGGGACAACACGAGAUGGAAAAUUGGAUCAAAUGCGACGAUAAUCUUGAUUGGAAUUUUUUAAUCAGACAAUUUAACUUCCUACAUAUGAACUGUAACACGAGUCCUAUAAAAGAAACUAAUAAAGAAGUAAUUCGUAUGAAUAA